rnacentral:rRNA from 1 species
CGGAGGAUCCAAGCGUUAUCCGGAAUCAUUGGGUUUAAAGGGUCCGUAGGCGGGUUAUUAAGUCAGUGGUGAAAGUUUGCAGCUCAACUGUAAAAUUGCCAUUGAUACUGGUAGUCUUGAAUUUUGUGAAGUAACUAGAAUAUGUAGUGUAGCGGUGAAAUGCUUAGAUAUUACAUGGAAUACCAAUUGCGAAGGCAGGUUACUAACAAACGAUUGACGCUGAUGGACGAAAGCGUGGGUAGCGAACAGGAUU